rnacentral:tRNA from 1 species
GUAGACAUAGUUUAACCAAAACACUAGAUUGUGAUUCUAGGAACAGAGGUUAAAACCCUCUUGUCCACC